GACGAACGCUGGCGGCGUGCUUAACACAUGCAAGUCGAACGGAAAGGCCCUGCUUUUGUGGGGUGCUCGAGUGGCGAACGGGUGAGUAACACGUGAGUAACCUGCCCUUGACUUUGGGAUAACUUCAGGAAACUGGGGCUAAUACCGGAUAGGAGCUCCUGCUGCAUGGUGGGGGUUGGAAAGUUUCGGCGGUUGGGGAUGGACUCGCGGCUUAUCAGCUUGUUGGUGGGGUAGUGGCUUACCAAGGCUUUAACGGGUAGCCGGCCUGAGAGGGUGACCGGCCACAUUGGGACUGAGAUACGGCCCAGACUCCUACGGGAGGCAGCAGUGGGGAAUAUUGCACAAUGGGCGGAAGCCUGAUGCAGCAACGCCGCGUGCGGGAUGACGGCCUUCGGGUUGUAAACCGCUUUCGCCUGUGACGAAGCGUGAGUGACGGUAAUGGGUAAAGAAGCACCGACUAACUACGUG
rnacentral:rRNA from 1 species